CAACUUACUUCUGACCCGCCACAAGUUGAUAGACUGCUGGAGGGCUCACCACCCCGACGAGAAAGACUACACCUUCUUCUCACAUCCACACAACGCAUACACCAGACUGGACUAUGUCUUUACCACGCACUAUCACCUGCCACUAACAUGUAACGCGGAACACGGAACAGCGACAUGGUCAGACCAAGCCCCCGUAACCCUGACACUCGCUUCCCCCCUCUACAGACCGAGGCUCACUAAGUGGAGGCUUAACGACUACCUCCUCACCAGACCAGACCUAACAACAGACAUAGGAGAAACACUCAAGGAAUACUUUGAGACGAACACGACUGAACACACAUCGCCGUCCAUUAGAUGGCAGGCGUAUAAAAGCGUAGUUCGCAGACACUUCAUUAGACAGAGCGCCACCCUCAAAAAACAGGCCGACUGCCGAAUGAAGGAGCUAGUGACAGAAAUACAAAGCCUAGACUCCCUCAAUAAAACUGCACAACACCAGACACAUCAGGCGACAUUGCUACAACUACGGCGUGAACUGACCAGCCUCCUCCAUAGGAAACACCACAGAGAUGUGGUCAGGCAUAAAGCCUUCUUCCUACUCCAUGGCAACAAGAGCGGGAAGCUACUGGCCAGAAUGCUCGCAAAAAAGAGACAGACGACAUAUAUUGACAAAAUGAG